CUGGCCCUGAAUCAAGACUAGCAGCUUACUGAAGCUGCUGGCUUCAGGCAGGAGCCUAAAGAAAUGUCUCUGAAUGGUCUGUUUAUCAUUUCAGAACUUUAGAAACGUAAUGUUCAAUUCCUUGAGAAGAAACAACA
ensembl:snoRNA